rnacentral:lncRNA from 1 species
AUCAAAUAUUAAUCAAGAUUUGCCCGACUGAAACAUGCACUAUUACCAGUAAAUAAAUGACAUUUGACAAAUUGUUUAUUAUGAAACAAAGUAUUAUUAUAUCUACAAAAUACAAGCAAGAUUCAUUCGUCCGAAAUUCGCGUGUGUUCCUAGCACGAAUACGUUUCCUUAUUUCAUGAGACCACUGCAUCGCGAAGGAUCGUCAUUGGAUCGUUCGUAGUUCUGAAUUAGGGCAUGCUGUCACAACGGAAUUGUGAAGCUCUUCUAACUUCUGCAACGUUCUGAAAUCUUGUUAAGAAUACCCAAACUCUUUUGCCGUUUCUUAAUCUUGGCAAGUUCAUGGAGUAAACUGAGAAUUAUAUGAAACACAAUCAAACCAUACAACUCCAUAAGACAUAACAAUUAAGCAACUCCCCAGAGACAUGCAACAUUUUUGGAACAAAACGAAACAAAAUAGUAGCGUUGAUACGGUGAUGUGUAUUUGCAAAAAGCAAUAUUAUUUCCUUCAAUAGAGAAUAUUCAUCCUGCUCUAACCGAGAAAUAAUCUACUCAGUCUGUUUGAACCCAUUAAAAACAUAAAAAAAUUAGGCUAUUUAAGAAUACGAAAAAUUUAAGCGCC